AGAAGGUUAGCUCAGCCAACUGUUGGAUAUGUUGGUUCAAGCCUGUAGUCGUGCCUGGUAGGCAAAUCCGCCGGGCUUAGAUGAGGGGUGAUAACGAGUCUGCUUGCAGACGAAGUGAGUGAUACCCUGCUUCCAGGAAAAGCCACUAAGCUUCAGCUAUUGACGACCGUACCGCAAACCGACACUGGUGCGCGAGAUGAGUAUUCUAAGGCGCUUGAGAGAACUCUGGAGAAGGAACUCGGCAAAUUGAUACCGUAACUUCGGGAGAAGGUAUGCCCCAAGUAGGUGAACCUGUACAAGGCGAGCCCAAAGGGGUUGCAAAAAAUUGGUGGCUGCGACUGUUUAAUAAAAACACAGCACUCUGCAAACACGAAAGUGGACGUAUAGGGUGUGACGCCUGCCCGGUGCUGGAAGAUUAAAUGAUGGGGUGCAAGCUCUUGAUUGAAGUCCCAGUAAACGGCGGCCGUAACUAUAACGGUCCUAAGGUAGCGAAAUUCCUUGUCGGGUAAGUUCCGACCUGCACGAAUGGCGUAACGAUGGCCACACUGUCUCCUCCAGAGACUCAGCGAAGUUGAAAUGUUUGUGAUGAUGCAAUCUACCCGCGGAAAGACGGAAAGACCCCAUGAACCUUUACUGUAGCUUUGUAUUGGACUUUGAACAGAUCUGUGUAGGAUAGGUGGGAGGCUUUGAAGCGUGGUCGCUAGAUCAUGUGGAGCCAACGUUGAAAUACCACCCUGGUGUGUUUGAGGUUCUAACCUAGGUCCAUUAUCUGGAUCGGGGACAGUGCAUGGUAGGCAGUUUGACUGGGGCGGUCUCCUCCCAAAGCGUAACGGAGGAGUUCGAAGGUACGCUAGUUACGGUCGGACAUCGUGACGAUAGUGCAAUGGCAUAAGCGUGCUUAACUGCGAGACUGACAAGUCGAGCAGAUGCGAAAGCAGGACAUAGUGAUCCGGUGGUUCUGUAUGGAAGGGCCAUCGCUCAACGGAUAAAAGGUACUCUGGGGAUAACAGGCUGAUACCGCCCAAGAGUUCAUAUCGACGGCGGUGUUUGGCACCUCGAUGUCGGCUCAUCUCAUCCUGGGGCUGUAGCCGGUCCCAAGGGUAUGGCUGUUCGCCAUUUAAAGAGGUACGUGAGCUGGGUUUAAAACGUCGUGAGACAGUUUGGUCCCUAUCUUCCGUGGGCGCUGCAGAUUUGAGGAAGCCUGCUCCUAGUACGAGAGGACCGGAGUGGACACACCUCUGGUGUACCGGUUGUCACGCCAGUGGCAUCGCCGGGUAGCUAAGUGUGGAAGAGAUAACCGCUGAAAGCAUCUAAGCGGGAAACUCGUUUCAAGAUGAGAUCUGCCGGGGGCUCGACCCCCCUGAAGAGUCGUUCUAGACCAGGACGUUGAUAGGCUGGGUGUGGAAGCGCAGCAAUGCGUUAAGCUAACCAGUACUAAUUGCUCGUGCGGCUUGAGC
rnacentral:rRNA from 1 species